ensembl:lncRNA
CUGAAUAUUUUAAGAUGAUUGUUACUUAUCUUUUACCUUUUCAGUAAUACGUAUUUUAGCUAGUGUUAAGUUUUAGGAAAUUGUGACACAUUUGAUAAUUUUUAAUUUGAUAAUUUUAAAAUGUCUUACUUCCACAAAGUUUUGUUUUAUAUAUAUAAUAUACAAGUGGGGUUUCUUGUUUUGUUCUUUGCUGCAAAGGAGAACACCACACAUCAUGGCGAACUGUUGUGUCUCAGAGUGUUUAAAAGGCCCUAUUACAGGAUUUAGACUUGAGUUAAUACAAUUCAUGGCAGUCAGAAAUAAGUCUUAAUAGAGCUAAAAAUCAUCCUCAGAUUCUCUAUUCUCUGAUAUUUUAGUCACAUAAAAUAAGUUACUAUCCUCUUUCAUAAAAAGGUUCUGUUCCUGUUUUGUAUAAUCUGACAGUAGUUUGUGUGUUUGAGAAUCUGCUGUCACUUUUUAAAUAAAUUCCAAAAUAUGAUUUUUGACAUUAGUCAAUAUUAGACAUUCUUAUAUCUUUUCACUAGAAAUCAUUAUAGUUCUGAAGAAAGUUCUGUUUGUGAAAUACAUUUUCUUUAUAACAGACUUUCAAUAUACUUUAUGACAGUUUUAGGUUCUGCUAUGUCUUAGUGGGUAUAGUUGUCUAAAGAGAAAUGGUUAAGAGAAUAUUCCCUGUGCAAAGUGUAUAUUAUUAAACAUAAAGCUUAGGGUUAGGUUGGAGCUUCCCUGUUGGUAAAGAAUCUGUCUGUAGUGCCAGAGACUCGUGUCCGAUCCCUGGGUUGGGAAGAUCCCCUGGAGGAGGGAAUGGCUACCCAUCCAGUAUUCUUGCUUGGAGUAUUUGUGGACCAUGGAGCCUAGCAGGCUGCUGUCCAUGGACUUGCAAAGAGUCAGACACUUUACAGGGUUAGGUUGCUCACUUGAAUUCUCUCGAUAUGCUGAUGGUACUACACCUUGGAGGUUAAUUUAGGUAAAGAAUGUUGGAAUGAUUAAGAUGGCAUUAGUAAAAUAACUCCCUAUUUUACAUUCUGUAUUGGUGAUUACCCUGGUUUCAACUUUUCUGACUUUCAGCAAGAUAUCUAUAAGUUUUUACUUUGAAG